GACGAACGCUGGCGGCGUGCUUAACACAUGCGAGUCGAACGGAAAGGCCCUGCUUGCAGGGUACUCGAGUGGCGAACGGGUGAGUAACACGUGGGUGAUCUGCCCUGCACUUCGGGAUAAGCCUGGGAAACUGGGUCUAAUAGCGGAUAGGAGCCAUUUUUAGUGUGAUGGUUGGAAAGUUUUUUCGGUGUUGGAUGAGCUGGCGGGCUAUCAGCUUGUUGGUGGGGUAAUGGCGUACAAGGGCGGCGACGGGUAGCCGGCCUGAGGGGGUGGACGGCCACAUUGGGACCGAGGGACGGCCCAGACUCCGACGGGAGGCAGCAGGGGGGAAUAUUGCACAAUGGGCGCAAGCCGGAUGCAGCGACGCCGCGUGGGGGAUGACGGCCUUCGGGUUGUAAACACCUUUCGCUAGGGACGAAGCUUUUUGUGACGGUACCUAGAUAAGAAGCACCGGCUAACUACGUG
rnacentral:rRNA from 1 species